AGUGAACGCUGGCGGUAGGCCUAACACAUGCAAGUCGAACGGCAGCACAGUAAGAGCUUGCUCUUACGGGUGGCGAGUGGCGGACGGGUGAGGAAUACAUCGGAAUCUACUUUUUCGUGGGGGAUAACGUAGGGAAACUUACGCUAAUACCGCAUACGACCUACGGGUGAAAGCAGGGGAUCUUCGGACCUUGCGCGAUUGAAUGAGCCGAUGUCGGAUUAGCUAGUUGGCGGGGUAAAGGCCCACCAAGGCGACGAUCCGUAGCUGGUCUGAGAGGAUGAUCAGCCACACUGGCACUGAGACACGGUCCAGACUCCUACGGGAGGCAGCAGUGGGGAAUAUUGGACAAUAGGCGCAAGCCUGAUCCAGCCAUACCGCGUGGGUGAAGAAGGCCUUCGGGUUGUAAAGCCCUUUUGUUGGGAAAGAAAAGCAGCAGGUUAAUACCCCGCUGUUCUGACGGUACCCAAAGAAUAAGCACCGGCUAACUUCGU
rnacentral:rRNA from 1 species